rnacentral:lncRNA from 10 species
GCAGCUAAUCCUCUGGUUAAGCCCAGAUUGCAAGGUUUGCUUUGCCUUUUAUGGGCAGUAGUUUUCUUUUUUUUUUUUUUUUUUAAUUAUUAUACUUUAAGUUCUAGGGUACAUGUGCACAAUGUGCAGGUUUGUUACAUAUGUAUACAUGUGUGCCAUGUUGAUGCGCUGCACCCAUUAACUCAUCAUUUACAUUAGGUAUAUCUCCUAAUGCUAUCCCUCCCCCCACCCCACAGCAGUCCCUGGUGUGUGAUGUUCCCCUUCCUGUGUCCAUGUGUUCUCAUUGUUCAAUUCCCACCUAUGAGUGAGAACAUGCAGUGUUUGGUUUUUACACAGUCAUAAAAAAAUGAUGAGUUCAUCUCCUUUGUAGGGACAUGGAUGAAGCUGGAAACCAUCAUUCUCAGCAAACUAUCGCAUGGGCAGUGGUUUUCAAUAGCAGUUUAAAGUUUUGCUGUGUGGUUUGGGCCUGCUCAUUAUAUGAAAAACUUAGGAGUUGACCUGGAAUUUGGAUGGAGUCAUAUAUUCCUUCUCUCUUGAAGACUUGGGUUUCUUUCUUUCAGCAGUUAAUGAGUAGUUUGGCAAUAUAAAAAUAGACAAAGGAAACAGAAUAACAGCAUGAGUUAGUCCAAGGUUGACUGGAUCAUCUACUUUUGCCUAAAACUGUUCACACUGAACGAGCAGGGCCCACAGCCACUACCAGCGCUUCCAAGAGAUUUGGAGCCUCUGUUAACGGACUCCCAGUGCACCAGGAAUGAUUACCUUACACACUGAUGCAGAGUAGCAAUUCUAGGUAAACCAGCAAAAAGUGAACAGAAAUCCUAACAAAUUAUGCAUUCCAACCUAUUGUUUCCUUUAGAACACAAAUCUACUGUUAUUAAGCAAUAUUUUAAUUUUUAGAUUUCAAAUAAAAUAUGUAAAGAAAGUCAACUUGUUCAGAAAUUUAAUUAUCUUUAGGUAAAAAAUCUAAAUACUAUAAUAAAAGGAGAAGAAUGCUGUAAAGUGAAGGAGACAAAUAGGUGCUAACUUAUAACUGAAGUUCCUGUCUUUGAGGGAUUUCCAUCUUUGAGGUUUCUAUUUUUUAGGAGUUUUCAAAUUAGAGGAAGGGCAGAGAAGUAAGCAUGCAUGCAUGACGUGCAUGAUAUGACAGCAUAAAUACUAUAAUAGAAGGAUGCACAAGAUAACAUGGACACCGAAGAAGAUAAAUUUAAUCCAGAGGGACAUUGUCUAGGGACAUGGUCAAGGG